CAAGUCGAACGGUAGCAGGAAGAAGCUUGCUUCUUUGCUGACGAGUGCCGUACGGGUGAGUAAUGCUUGGGAAUUUGCCUUUGCGAGGGGGAUAACAGUUGGAAACGACUGCUAAUACCGCAUGAUGUCUACGGACCAAAGGGGGCUUUUAGCUCUCGCGCAAAGAGGAGCCCAAGUGAGAUUAGCUAGUUGGUGAGGUAAGGGCUCACCAAGGCGACGAUCUCUAGCUGUUCUGAGAGGAAGAUCAGCCACACUGGGACUGAGACACGGCCCAGACUCCUACGGGAGGCAGCAGUGGGGAAUAUUGCACAAUGGGGGAAACCCUGAUGCAGCCAUGCCGCGUGUGUGAAGAAGGCCUUCGGGUUGUAAAGCACUUUCAGUUGUGAGGAAAGGUUGGUAGUUAAUACCUGCCAGCUGUGACGUUAACAACAGAAGAAGCACCGGCUAACUCCGUGCCAGCAGCCGCGGUAAUACGGAGGGUGCGAGCGUUAAUCGGAAUUACUGGGCGUAAAGCGCACGCAGGCGGUUUGUUAAGCUAGAUGUGAAAGCCCCGGGCUCAACCUGGGAAUAGCAUUUAGAACUGGCAAGCUAGAGUCUUGGAGAGGGGGGUGGAAUUCCAGGUGUAGCGGUGAAAUGCGUAGAUAUCUGGAGGAACAUCAGUGGCGAAGGCGGCCCCCUGGCCAAAGACUGACGCUCAUGUGCGAAAGUGUGGGUAGCGAACAGGAUUAGAUACCCUGGUAGUCCACACCGUAAACGCUGUCUACUAGCUGUUUGUGCGAUUUAAGCGUGAGUAGCGAAGCUAACGCGAUAAGUAGACCGCCUGGGGAGUACGGCCGCAAGGNUUAAACUCAAAUGAAUUGACGGGGG
rnacentral:rRNA from 1 species